ACGGAGUACUUCGGUACUUAGUGGCGGACGGGUGAGUAACGCGUGAGAAUCUGCCUUCAGGUUCGGGACAACCACUGGAAACGGUGGCUAAUACCGAAUGUGCCUUAGGGUGAAAAAUUUAUUGCCUGAAGAUGAGCUCGCGUCUGAUUAGCUAGUAGGUGUGGUAAUAGCGCACCUAGGCGACGAUCAGUAGCUGGUCUGAGAGGAUGAUCAGCCACACUGGGACUGAGACACGGCCCAGACUCCUACGGGAGGCAGCAGUGGGGAAUUUUCCGCAAUGGGCGAAAGCCUGACGGAGCAAUACCGCGUGAGGGAGGAAGGCUCUUGGGUUGUAAACCUCUUUUCUCAAGGAAGAAAAAAAUGACGGUACUUGAGGAAUAAGCAUCGGCUAACUCCGUGCCAGCAGCCGCGGUAAUACGGAGGAUGCAAGCGUUAUCCGGAAUGAUUGGGCGUAAAGCGUCCGCAGGUGGCUGUGUAAGUCUGCUGUUAAAUAGUGAGGCUCAACCUCAUAAAGGCAGUGGAAACUACAUGGCUAGAGUGCGUUCGGGGCAGAGGGAAUUCCUGGUGUAGCGGUGAAAUGCGUAGAGAUCAGGAAGAACACCGGUGGCGAAAGCGCUCUGCUAGGCCGCAACUGACACUGAGGGACGAAAGCUAGGGGAGCGAAUGGGAUUAGAUACCCCAGUAGUCCUAGCCGUA
rnacentral:rRNA from 1 species